AGAGUUUGAUCCUGGCUCAGAUUGAACGCUGGCGGCGUGCCUAACACAUGCAAGUCGAGCGGUAACAGGCGUAGCAAUACGUGCUGACGAGCGGCGAACGGGUGAGUAAUGCUUCGGAAUCUACCCAGUAGUGGGGAAUAACCAGCCGAAAGGUUGGCUAAUACCGCAUACGUCCUACGGGAGAAAGCGGGGGAUCGCAGGACCUCGCGCUAUCGGAUGAGCCGAAGCCGGAUUAGCUAGUUGGUAGGGUAACGGCCUACCAAGGCGACGAUCCGUAGCUGGUCUGAGAGGACGACCAGCCACACUGGGACUGAGACACGGCCCAGACUCCUACGGGAGGCAGCAGUGGGGAAUAUUGGACAAUGGGGGAAACCCUGAUCCAGCGACGCCGCGUGUGUGAAGAAGGCCUGCGGGUUGUAAAGCACUUUUAGUGGGGAUGAAAAGCCUUGGGAUAACACCCCAGGGUCUUGACCUAACCCACAGAAAAAGCACCGGCUAACUCUGUGCCAGCAGCCGCGGUAAUACAGAGGGUGCGAGCGUUAAUCGGAAUUACUGGGCGUAAAGCGUGCGUAGACGGUCGUGUAAGUCGGGUGUGAAAGCCCCGGGCUCAACCUGGGAAUUGCAUUCGAGACUGCAUGGCUAGGGUGCGGAAGAGGGAAGCGGAAUUUCCGGUGUAGCGGUGAAAUGCGUAGAUAUCGGAAGGAACACCAGUGGCGAAAGCGGCUUCCUGGUCCGACACCGACGUUCAGGCACGAAAGCGUGGGGAGCAAACAGGAUUAGAUACCCCAGUAGUCC
rnacentral:rRNA from 1 species